rnacentral:rRNA from 1 species
GAAUUCGCCCUUAGAGUUUGAUCCUGGCUCAGGACGAACGCUGGCGGCGUGCUUAACACAUGCAAGUCGAACGGGCCUUAACGAAUAGAUUUACUAUGAGCUAAGGUUAGUGGCGGACGGGUGAGUAACACGUGGAUAACCUACCUGACACAUCGGGAUAACACCGUGAAAACAGUGCUAAUACCGGAUACGUUCUUUAGGGCGCAUGGUCUAAAGAAGAAAGGGGGAACCCGGUGACAGAUGGAUCCGCGGCUGAUUAGCCAGUUGGUGGGGUAAAGGCCUACCAAAGCGACGAUCAGUAGCCGGCCUGAGAGGGUGAACGGCCACACUGGAACUGAGACACGGUCCAGACUCCUACGGGAGGCAGCAGUGGGGAAUCUUCCGCAAUGGGCGCAAGCCUGACGGAGCAACGCCGCGUGGGUGACGAAGGCCUUCGGGUUGUAAAGCCCUGUCAAAUGGGAAGAAAGGAAUGACAGUACCAUAAGAGGAAGCCACGGCUAACUACGUGCCAGCAGCCGCGGUAAUACGUAGGUGGCAAGCGUUGUCCGGAAUUACUGGGCGUAAAGGGCGAGUAGGCGGUUAAUUAAGUCAGGUGUGAAAACUGUGGGCUCAACCCAGAGAGUGCACCUGAUACUGAGUAACUUGAGUGCAGGAGAGGGCAGUGGAAUUCCUAGUGUAGCGGUGAAAUGCGUAGAUAUUAGGAGGAACACCAGUGGCGAAGGCGGCUGCCUGGACUGUAACUGACGCUGAGGCGCGAAAGCGUGGGGAGCAAACAGGAUUAGAUACCCUGGUAGUCCACGCCGUAAACGAUGGGUAAUAAGGUGUAAAGAGCAUCACCCUUUCUGUGUCCGAAUAUACCCUCCACGCACCCCCGCUGGGUUUAUACGAUAACAGUUUUAAAACUAAAACGCUUUAAUUGGGCCCC